AAUUGUUAGGUAAAUGAGUAAAUACUGUUACGGCGAGCGCGGAUUAACACGCCGUAGUGGCAACGCUGCCAGCGAGAUAGAUAGAUAGAUAGAUAGAAUGCUCGAGAAAGCUCCACGGCUUUAAAAUAGGGAAUGUUCCCCAACUAAACCAUAAUAUUCGAGUGUUGCCAAACGGCUAUGUCUGGUAAUGACUAUGUGAAGCAAGCGCGACUCACCCAAGUAGUACCUAGUAGUAGUAGUGCUGUGGGCAGUGUUGUUGUUGUGGCAUACUGGCACUAGGCAGUGCAACAUCGACAAAAAAAUGCUUACAAUGUAUUAUUGAGCUGUAAUAUGAGAUAUUUUUGCGGAACGCAGUAUGUAAUUGUACUUCAGGAGGAGGGAGAGGACGAGAAAGAGCAAAAAUAACUUUACUGAUACCAAAGAAGCGUUACAUGUUGUUACAUGUUGAUACAACGCAAUUCGAAUUAACGUCCAGAAAGAUGGAUACAACAUUUUGCUGAUACCAAAAGAGCAUGCAGCUGAUGUAAAUAAUAGAUAAUUGAGUGAUUUGAAAAACGCGACUAAAUGUUUCCAAAAGCAUUUAACCAAAGCUACCAAACACUAGCGGCUCUAUAAAACUCCGCCGAUGUACUUCCUCAACUGUUAAUCUCUCGCUUUGAGGUUGUGCGUUAUCGAGUGACCGGACAAGGUCAGUGAGGGCCGACGCCCGAUGUCGUUUCCACAGAAACGGCAAAAGCUGACGUCCGGACGCCCUCGGUCGGAUGCUGAGGGCGCGCUGAACUUCACCUUUUCCUCAAAGGGCACGAAUUUAUUGCGAAGAAAAUUGAUGGCUAAGUUUACGUAUUGAAUGCAGUGCUAGAACUUGAAACGUUUUGCAAACAGUGGCAGACUGAUUAUGGAAGCCAUUAAUCAACUUGGCGACGCGGUUUGUCGCUGGUUCGAUGUCCGUUGAAGACAUUGACAUUGAAAGCGCCGAUAAGUCGUGUCGGUUUUGUGUUAUUUUGAUUACAAUUUUAUUUGCCCGCUAGAGUGUUAUCGUCUGGCUUUUACUGACUUUUUAAAAUUCAGCAAAGUUUGCGGCUGAAAGUCCGCUACUCUAACCCUUCAACGUUUUAUUUAAUUGUUUGUUUUCUUCUGCCUAAUUGAGUGGUACCUCCAGAGAACAACAAAGCAUUUAAACGAAUAUAUGUCACAUAAUAGGUACAAAAGAAGUCAAUUUUUCAUUUAACACUUAAGGAAUUGUGACCUUUAACACAAUUCCUUUCGGAUUUCGGACACCCCAGUUCUUUCUUGCUGUUAAGAACUGUGCCAUUAUUCUUUAAUUUUCUAUAAAACAGCAUGUUUAUUUUAGGUCUGCCUAUUAUACAGGCGUGUAAACGGCUCUUAAAGCCUUCUCCAGUGUUGUACAGCGGCUUUCACCCCCCAUGUCAGUGCCCUUGAUUGUAUUGUUCGUGUCUGACUGAUCUUUUUGUCGCUCAAUAGACAAUUAAGUUUCAGAGCAUUCCCAUAUCCCAUCCCGUAAGCACAUGCAUCAAUUUGUUCUGAAUUAUAUUGAUUGUCUUGAAAUUAGUGACAUUCUGGCAAGAGUUGAAAACGACUGCAUGCAUUGUUUUCAAAGAGCCACCCUGUAUAUUACUCUUAUUUUGUUAAUUGUUAAGUUAACAACUGAUCUGAAACAUUCUUACAACCCACGCGAAAAAGCAUUUCAUGACUAUCUGCGUCAAAUGCGUCAACAUAAUCGAAAAGUGUGCAAAA
rnacentral:lncRNA from 1 species